AAUGAACGCCAAGUUAAUUUCACACACACACAAAAUUAUAAGUACUAAAAAAACAUACUGAGCUUCAGGUAAUGCACUGAUUUUCAGCCUGAAGUUUUUCUAAGCUGUACUUGUAUUUCUUUGGUAUAGAUAACACUGUACAGUUAAGGAUUUGCUCCACAUAAACGUGCAUGUGAUUACACUUGAACUUAAGGCUAAGAUUACCUGCAUCUGAUACAAGGUUAUUCAUGUGAUUCUGUCAAUAAUAGCAUCUGCAACUUGUGGGGAAGAAAAAUAGCUGGUUUGUAUGAUGUGCUUGAGUGUUAUUUCAUCCUCAGGUGUCAUUCAUCUGCAGAUUUCUGAGUAAAUUCCUUCUUGAACAAUUAAGAUAAGCACUUGUUUGAAAAAAAGAGAGCAAGAUUAACGUAGCUGACUGGAAAUUGUGAUGUCCUGUGUUUUCAGUAUGGCUUACAUCUCUGAAGAUAGAGACAGUCACAACAUGAGUAUGUUGUUCUGUAAUACAGAGAGUGAAUGUAGCACAAAUAUUACACUAUAGUGCAAGUACAGUGUAACACUUGUGGGAGUGUGAAAGGAAUACUUGAAGCAGGUAGGGCUUGUGUGUAGAAGUGUUCACCAUCUGCAGUAACAGUCCUGUCCCAAGCUCUCUUGUAUGCACACUUUUACUGUAUUCUAGAAGAUAAAAUCACAAGCCUUACCAUGAAUAUUUACUCCUUAUAACUUAUCAUUUAUUCCUCCCUAAAAGUUCUCCACCUUAGUCAGAUGGACCUCUGUAUUUUCCUCCUUUUGAUAGUGUUCUCUUAAUACCAAAAAGAAGCACUAAAAUUACACGUAGGUCAAGGGAACAAACAAGGAGCAAUGUUCAGAAAUCACACCAUUCCUUGGCUGAGGAUUUUGAAGGAGAUGUAACAGAACAAUGAGCCAUGCUUUUAUCAACCAAAUAUGAGCUUUCUUCACAAUGCUGAAGUCUUUUUGAAGAUUCAGCCAUUUUGAAAUCCAGGAAAUGAUCCUGAAGGAUCCCACGCUUAUGUUCCCAAGUAUGAACCAUUAGAGCUUCUGAGUGGACUAACUGCAGAAGAUCUGCAGCCAUCAGGGCUUCACACUCAUGCUUUCCACGUAAUCUGCCUUAGAAGUUACUCUUCGCAACAGGACCAGUCUCUAGAUGGUAAACAUCUACAAAUAUUUUAGAUAACAUUUUUGCACCAAUAAAACUACAAUCACUAAAUUGUAAAACAAAUGUAACCUAAACCAAUGACUUGAGGUGGCAAAGAGUCUCAGAAGGGGCAGUAGCUUAAAUGGUUCCACGCAGAGACCAUUUGAGGGCAGAGAAUGCUGAAAGGUUAAGUUUGUUUGUACCAGUGGAAGUCGCUACCUUUCUUUCCCCACUGUGUAAGAAACGUUUUACUUCUGGUGGGAUGCACUGAUAACAACUGCUGAUCAGAGUCAGAGUUAUCCUCUUACUUGACCCUGCAUCUAACUUUCUUUAUCCUACAUCUAAGUUCCUUCAACCAACUGUUCAUGGCACUGUGUCAGUAAUGACUUACUAGCACUUCAAGAUUUCUGGAAAUUCCUUGGCUCUCCUCCUGUUACCACUCCCAAGUUGGAAUACAAGGAAACUUGGCUGGAAAAUAUUAACAACCUUUGUGUUUUGUCUGCAUAGAGAAAAGAAUUGCUAUAAAUCGACUGCUGCUAGCUUAGAUAUUUUAAAGAUUAGCAGAAUGAAUUGAUUUUUAAAUUCCCAUAAAGAAUGAGACCGUUCCACAAAAUAAAUUUUCUUAAAGGAAACAAGAACUUGUAAGUCCACAUUCAUGUACAUUGUGCCUAAUUUUAAGAUGAAGUUAAUAAAAUGCUAAAUGGUUAACUUCAUCAGUCUGGAGACUUCUGGCACUCGUGACUGAUGGUUUGAAAAUAAAUUUGAGAUAGAAAUAAUAAUAAAAAAGGCAAAUCACAGUCAGUGCAGUGUCGAUAAUACUUGUUUGGCUCUUACGAUUUGUAUCUGCUGUGAUCCAAUAAAGAUCACAACUUAGCAGUGGCUUCCCACUGAGGGACUUAAACUAUACAGGAUUAUGUAGCACUUAAAGACACUCUGCCCUUGCUUUUUUCUGCAAGUAUCUGCAUUUCGCAUGUGGUGACGUUCUGAAUAUUACCUCUGCAGCUAAGAAUUCCAAGAAUCAUCAAGUCCAACAUCUACUAAAGCAGGUAAAUACAGUUUAAUGUUGAAGAUGUGGGAUGUUCGUGGAAAAAUAUGUGAAAGAAUGUCUUUGAAUAAAUCUCAGAUCUGUUCUGCAAACAACGUGCUUAUCAAAAGAUGACUUUGAAGGCUUACGAGAGACAGCAAGCAUGGUUAGAUGAGCAAACCUGGCUUGGAAUUGUGCCAUGCCCUUGGACCUUCCUACACAAAAAUGUUAAUAACAAUCACACUUGUUCUAAAAACAAGAACAGAGAGAAUUGUGCACUUGUUCAUUUGUAUUGAUCCUGCCAGAUGAUGAACCUUUGCUGCAAUAGCAUUGCUACAAUGAGAAGUUACACAGAUCCAUAACUUUAAAUAAUCCUUUUUGGCAGUGCUUUUCUCUGCCCUCCAGGACUGAGAGUUUAGCCAGCACAGUGCAGCCAGGGGCUUGCUGGAGGAUUUUGUCUCAGAUGACCCCAACAAUGAAAAUCUCUUGGGUAAGGGUGAAGAGAGGCUGAGAUACUGCUGCUAUCCAUGUGGGAAGGAGGAGAGCUGAAAAUGGGCUUCUCUUGAGGAUGGAGCCAGUCCCCCAGAAUAUACUGAACUAUACAACAGAGGCCAAAGUAAACAACAUCCAGCAAAAAGUAUUUGCAAACGUAGAUAAAGCUUAGCUCUUCCCUCCGCACGUAGUAGAUUCUGUCCUCUUGACAGCGAUCCGCUGAGGGUAACCAUGAUGAUAUUUUCUUCAGGUACUGAGGGAACCAUCACUGGCUGGGCUAAGCAGUACAGAUCUGCACCACAGCAGGUGGAGAAGGAAACAUACUGUAUGUUGUCAAAGUUCUCAACAAUGACUCGGAGAUGUUGUCUUCUCAGUGUUUGCUUGCUUGUCAGCAGGGCAGCUGCUGUUACUGCUGCUGAGAGCAGGCUUACAUUUUUUCUUAAGGUAAGAAGGUAUCAACACCGAAAGGAAGAGUCUAAACAGCACUUGGACUGCAUUAGUUAAAACUUACUGUGGUAAACUGGGGUUGGUUUGUAUCUCUAACAAAGUCUGUUUGUUUACAAAGGACACUAAGACUUGUUACAUCAUGGCAACAGGUUCUUCAUGCUUUUUUCCUGACAGCUGACUGGAUAUGUGCAGUCCCUACGCAGGGGCAGAGACUAUUGUUGGUAAGAUGUCAAACAAUUAGAUGGGAAAACUGGAAUGGAACCCAGUGUCAUGCAGUUGGAGUCUUUUGGUGUGAGAGGGCUUUUUGGUGAGCCACAAAGGAUAUGAGCUGUUGCAGUCUUGACUCAUCAAUUUUGCUGGUGAUAAUCCAAACUUAUACGGGAGGUCUCUUGGCGCAAGAGUUUGUAACAGAAGGGCAACAAACACAGAUGAUCCACUGCAAGCAGACACUGUGCAGUGCCUGCAGCUCACGUGUUCCAGCACUUGCACAAUCACUUUAAGUGCAAAAUUACAUAAAACCAGCAUUAACCCAACCAGAACUGUUCUCCAUAAGCUGCAGGGUUAGAAGUUCUAACCAAGUGAGGGAGCACACAAGCGUGAGAACUGGCAUAUGCCUGAAGGUGCAUCUAUGCAAAGGCAAAAGGAUUGGUGAAAGGGGCAGGAUCUCCACCAUUUGGCAACAAGAAGUUGUCCAAUAGCUCAGCUGUCUAAUUUAGCUCUCAGUACAACAUUCUGCUUCCAGAUCUCAGCUGCAAUUUUAUAUAUAUUUAAAUAUAUAUCACUAUCAACUACUGUAAAAAUAAGUUUCCUUGCACUACAACCAAUAAUCAAAUACAUAAUGCUGCAAGAUAAACAUACACAGUGGAUUAUUCAUUAACCCACAAUGCAAGAAAGCCAAAUUCACAAAGUAACAGUUUAGAACACUUGGUUACAGUCAAAACAUGUCUUGAAAAUCACCUUGAUUUGUUGUUUCCAGUGUAAGGGACCAUCCAUUGCAGUUCCACCCUGACAUGGGGCUGGGUAGAAUUUCUGCCAUAAAGACUGGGGUGAGCAAGUGGACAAGUUUGUUCUCUCAAAGGAAAAACAGGACAAGGGAAUUGAUGAGAAUGAGGCUCCAGGAUUCUGUAAGGGUGCAUGAAUGGAGGCAAGACAGUCUCACAGCCUUUCCUUUUUGCCUCCGCUUCCCCAGACAGGAAGGGGAGCUGGGAACUGAGUAUGUGAUGCAGGUUCUGGAGGAAGCUACAUGAAAGCAUAAAAACAUUGGGAGUACGACAUCAACAGGUGAAUGUAAGGAUAUGAGAUCAAACAGCUGUGCACAUCCAUACUACAACCACAGCCUGAGAUAUGCUAAGAGCUCAACACUCACAGGGAAGAAAUACUGCCUAAGAGCACAGCUUUCCACAUUCUGAGAACCUCAUCUGAAGUGCACUACGUGUGCCUGGAGCUACAAAUUCAAGCGUCAGUAGCAGCACUGGGGAUGCCCCAGGCCUACAGAAAAAGAACAGGGCACAGACUGCACCUUCCCUGUCCACAUGCAACAGCUGUGACCGAGACACAGACUCCAUCCACAGACUUGGAAACUCUAAUACCUCAAGAGCAAGAGAAGUUCUAGGUGUUAUUCAAAAAAGUGAAGGAGCCUUGGCCUAGAUAUGCUUUUUUUUUUUUUUUUUUUUUAAAACUAAAGAAGUCGGAUUUUAGAUUGGCAGUAACAUUGUUUUCUGGAAAACUUUUUUUUUUUUUUUUUUAAGAUAAUAUUUAAUAAAAACAAAAUUUUAAAACAAGAUAUACUGUUGUAAAGUCUGCAAAUACUCUCAAGCUAUUCUAUUUUUCCAUUCAGUAUCCUGUUGGCUUGACUUAUCCUUAUAAAUGAUACUAAGCUUAAUAACAUCCUAAUAGUUUAAACAGGUCUCAAAGAAGAGGGGAAAAAAUGCUUCAUCUUGAGAACUGAAAUGUGAUUGCCUUGACAGAGAGGAAACCAGCACACAAUCAUAUGCAUUCACUGAACAUUGACAAAUAAGCAUCUUGAGGGUCUGGUUUUUAUAGUACCUGAGGAAGAAGAGUACCCAUUAUGUAAGCUGCCUGUCAGGAAUAGAAAAAUACUACUUUGGUUUCCUAUUAGCAUCUCUGCUGAAUCAAAAAGUACUGCAGCUGUGCUGGGGGGCCAGAGGUGGAUAUUUUCACUUAAUGGCAAAGCUGAUCACUAGAGGCAGAAUCUUUAAGGCUAGAAAAGACCUCUGAAGAUGAUCUAGUCUGCUAGCACAACACAUUAGAAUAGGUUACAAGAACAGAGAUGCCUUUCAAUAAAUCCAUUACAGAUAUGAUGAUUGUGAUGUCUCUGUUGGGAUACAAUAGGGGUAAUGCUGCUAAAAGAAUGAAAAUUAAAAUACAAACAAUUUAAAGAACAGUGCGAUAACACUUGAAUUUAUUUUGAAAUGCCCAGUUCCACACAAAGCCCAGUGCAGGAAGCCUGGAGCCACCCCCCUCCCUCCCCAACAUACCCCCUCUGGGUGGGAAACCCCAAGGCCACAGCUCUGCUCCUGCCCCCAGCACACACUGUGAACACAGGUUGCUUAAUAAGCAACCAAUUGUACCAUGCUAAUAAAAAUACGUUUCUUGGCAAAAGCACUUGAUUUGGUUCCAUCUCACUUGAUGAAAAGUGGUUUAUUAAAUUAGGUCAAUUUGCUUACCUAAAGUUCGCUGAAACUGUUCUUGCAAUGCCACAUGUUGAGUAUCCUUCUAAAGGCUCACAGAAGAACACCUGCAAGCUGCUUACGUCAGAAGCAUCAAUCCCUGACUAAACAGCAGGUUCUGUUCCUCUCUCCCAGCAACGUGAAUGCUGAGCUGCAGAUACAUCAUGAGGAAAUACAUGUGCAUAAAAAUCUUUCUCCCUGCAAGUGAACGCCUUAUCUAUACCUAACAGGAUUGCGAAGAAAACCAUAAAUGAAGACACUGCAACAUUUUCAGUUAGCAAAUUACUCUGAUUUUAGAAACCAAUGUCUGCUUGCCACCAUUAUACAUAUGCCAAGUUCAUAGAAUCACAAAGUUGGAAAUGACCUGCAAGAUCAUCUAGUCCAACUGUGCUCCCAUUACCAUUGCUACCACAAGCACUAAACCAUCUCUCGCAGCUCCUCAUCCAGACGCCUCUUGAACACUGCCAGGGACAGCAACUCCACCACCUCCCUGGGCAGCCAUUCCAGUGCCUGACCACUCUCUGAGAGAAGAAGUUCUUCCUUAUGUCUAACCUAAACCUCCUCUGGUACAGCUUCCGGCCAUUUCCUUGGGUCCUGUUUGUUGCCUGGGAGAAGAGGCCAAACCCCUCCUCAUCACAACCUCCCUUCAGGAAGCUGUAGAGUGCAGUGAGGCCUCCUCCAAGCCUCCUCUUCUCCAGAAGAAACAAUCCCAGCUCAUCCAACCACUCCUCAUAAGACUAGCAGGAAGUGCCCUCACGAGCACAUGGGAACAACCAGCCUGCAUUUCCAGACCAGCACAGGCCUGUACCAUUUGGGUCAGAGAAUUGCUGUGCUCAAAACAGGGGUCACCUGCAGGUAGUCACAGGUGGCUUCACAACAGCUUGUCCAGGAGCCUGAUCUCCUGUGGAUGCCAAUUAGGGAAGACAGAGAGAUUCUGAUGCCCACUUGCUCCUGGUGGGGGAUUUCCCCACACUACAGAACAGAAAAGCACACUGUGAACUCCUUUCAUUCCACAGAAACCCUAAAAGAGCUGAGUUGUUAAGGUAUUUAUUAACAUAUUUGAUUCUCAGGGUUUUGAGUGUUAAAAUUUAGAGGGCAGAAAGCUGAAAAAUACUUCUAGUGUGUGGGUAGAUGAACAGUGACUAACAAGGGCAAUGAGGAAUUGAGAAACAGCCGCUGAAGGGCAUCACUGCAGAUUCUGGCAUCUCCUAACACCCUGAAAGAAGAAAAUGAAUGUCCUCCCUCUCAUUCCCACAUCAGCAUACCUCACAGGCACUCCCAUGGACUGGACCAGUGACAAGCUUGCUCUGUAAAAAGCCAUCCCAUUUGCACUGCCAGUAUGAAAGGAUGCAGUGCAACGUCGUCCUCUGGUAACUUCUGAUGCUUCAGGUACUAGGAAAAAAUUCUCCUCAAAUGAGUGGUAAGGCACUGGAAUAGGCUGCCGAAGGAUGCAAGAUGAGUCACUAUUGCUGGAGGUUUUCAAGAAUGCAUAGAUGUAACACUGAAGGAUAUGGUUAGUGUGCAUGGUAGCAGCAGUGAGUCGACAGUUGGACUAGAUGACCUUAGAUGUCUUUUCCAACCUUAAUGAUUAUGAUUCAAAGCAUUGGGCACUCACAGGCUCCAGCUCCAGCCAAUAAGCAUGCCCUUAGGAACCUACAGUUUAAAGAGUCAAAACACUUCUUCCAUUCUGUACAGGAGUAGUCAGCCCAGAAUCAUACACUAACCAUCAUCUUUAAUCUGCUGAAGGAGCUGCUUUUGCCUGUCAAGUAGAAGAGAAUUAAAACACAGCAUUUUUUGGAGCCAGUAAAGUCUGUUUGAGCCUAUCAGCCAUCAGGAAUCUUAGAGCUGAAGCACUGAAGGCUGACACAGGAGGAAACGGCAAUUUCACAAAGCACACUCUACCUAAAGGUCUGCCCCUUUACCCCUUCACUACUUCCCAUGCACUGAAGCAAGCACUGUGUUACUAGAAUACGCCAGUGCAGCAACUUGGUUCAAUUUCACUCCACUGGCACUGGCUGCCCAGCAAGGCAGCAGAAGCCCCAUCCUGGGGGACAUGCAAGGUUAGGCUGGAUGAGGAUCUGAGCAACCUGAUGCAGUGUAGGUGCCCCUGCUCAUUGCAGAGGAGUUGGCCAGAUGACCUUUAGAGGUCCCUUUCAACUCAAACAACUGUACAAUUCCAUGAUCCAAAUCAGCAGAAGACACCUGAAUUCCUGCCACUCAAGUUCUCACGUGCAGCCUUGUCCAUCACUUAACCAGUUACACGCAGCCAAGAGCUGUUCAUCAGUCCAUACUGCAAGGAAGUAUGAUCAUUCAUAAGUUUGAGAUAUCAACCUAUUUCUACUAUUAGUCUAAUAUCAUCUUAAGUGUUAUUUCCUUUCAGGACAUUUAGUAUUCCUUUUCCAUCUUGAGCAUAAGCUUUCUUGUUUGUCAUUCUUAGUUACUUUGAAAUUAUGAUCUAUUUUGGAACAACUCCAAAGCAUAAUUAUGUUUUCAAUUUAUUUUACAUCUCACUUAUAUAACAUGGCUUACAAUUGUCUGUACAUGUAACAUUGAUAUUUGAUAGACAAUAGUUCAAUUUUAAGUAUAUGCAAAAAAUGUAUAAAAAGUAUAUGCAAAAAUCUGAUCCUUGACCCACAAGGUUCUGAACUACAUAGUUCAGAGGGUUUUUAUUUCUUGAACAUGAAUGUUGGGUGAUGUUUAACUGCUUCUACUGAAAAACAGUUAAAACAUUUUGUAUUCUUCACUUGCAGUAAGAAUAAAUAGAGCACCGAAUUUUGUUAUUGAUUGGUUGCCUACUUUCUGCUUUAAAUUGCUGAUCCAUAGCAUGCACAGAAUGGUGUUUUGCAAUAAUUGAGAGCCAUUAAUCUUAUUUUACAGGACAAUGGAUGACAUCAAUAUUCCCUGGCACACAGAGCAAGGUAUUGUGCCAAGAAAGUGUUAUGCAAAGCAUUAAGAAAAUAGAAUACCAUCAUCAUCCUUGAAGGUACUGAAGUACAGGAAUUUAGCAGCACUCUCCAGAAAUAAAGGUUGAAUUGAAAAGUCUUCAAGAAGAAAAUACAAAAUAUAUUGGAGAAGGUGUAAGAAUAUUAAGUGCUGAGAUAUAAAACAUAGGUAGUAAAAGACGCAGACAUUUCUGUGCCACUGAAGCUGCUAGAAACAAGAGUCUCUUCACUAAAAGCGAAGAAAUGACAUUGCACAGUAAAAAAAACUAAAAGAGAAGGAACUGUAGUAGUGCUCAUAAAGUGGUAAAAACAUUUUAAAACAAAUUUGUCAUCAACUGAAAGCAUUUGUUUUAAUAGUAGCUUCAGGAGGUGGACCUUAGCUUGUAUCCACUGAACUAACUCAGCUGAAAUAAAAGGAGGCAACAUGUUUCUCAUACUGAAACCAAAACUAAUUGCUUGAAAAGUAGCAAAUAUUGAGCAAUUAGAGAUUUUCAUUCUUGUUUCAAGUCUGCAAACUGCCAACACUUAACUGUCAGGAAAUGUUUCCAGUGGACAGCUGCUUAUCAAAGCAAAGCAGUAGUCCAAGGGCAGCAGUGCUUGAAUGUGCCAAGCAAUGGCAAAAUUGAAUUCAACUAGGUCAAGUUUCAAAUAAAUAGCAGACUGUAGAAUAAUUCCUGAAAUAGAUUAGGACUGGGGCAUCAGAUGAAAUCUGCUCAGAUUGUACACUACACACCUCACACAGCCCUGAAAUAGGCACUGUGAAUAGGAGUAAUCUUUUACAGGCAGUAAAGACCUAAGAGUAAACUGGAAGUCAACUUGGCAGGAGUGGAAAACUGUACAUAAAGAAAUAAAGAAAACAAUUCUAAAAAUUAAUUUUUAAAAGGAUGUUUUUAGAAAACAAUAGCGGUAUGCCUAACUCCAGUGGCUAUGAAGAUUUUAUUCACUCUAAAAACCGCAACCAAAAGAAACCCAUCUUAUUUAUGGAAGACUCAUGCUACUCCAACUUCUUUGGUUUUGUAAAAUAAUAUAUAAUAAAUUGCAAUGACUCCCACAGACAGCAUAAGAAAGUGUUUGGACUCUAUGAUCCUUGUGAGUCCCUCCCAGUUCAGGAUAAUCUAUGAUCCUAAGACCAAAUGGCCUCACAUCCCUUCAGAAGACAUUUUCUAGGCAAGCUACUGUUAAUAACUAGGUCAGCCACUGUGCUACUUCAGGAUCUGAAAGACACAAGUAUCUGUUGUGGUUCUCAGCCUCAGAAGUUUCAGUAUUAUUUGUUUCUGCAGUGCCACAGCUGCGUGCAGCAUUCUACAGACUGCUGCUGAAGGAGCUGACAGCCCAAAUUAAACACAAAGCACCACCAUAAAACAAAUCAGACUCAAAAAGCACUCAAAGAGCUAUCAGAACUUCUAAAAACCUGAAGUUUUCACUGCUAACUGAAAAGCCAUUCAGUUAGCAUUUCAUAUACACAGACAUCCCAUCUUGGAGCCUGCUGCUGGAGGAAGACUUUCUUUUUAAUCCCUGGAUGUGAGCUAUGGAAACGUGUUUUGGGGCUGAAAGGGAAGCUAGAGUUGUAAGAAAAAGAUAGGCAGGAAAGAGGUUCCAGGCAGAGUUAACAGAAAUCAGUUGUGAAAGUGAAGACUGGCAAAAGGCAGUCAAGGAAGAAACUGCUGUAGAAUGAUACCUCCACAACAAACUUGACACCACAUACAUACAUGUCAAUCCUGAAGUUACAAGAUAAGCUAAUAAGCAAAUCAAUCAAAAAGCAAGAAAGCCAGAUAUAAGUCAGGAGAUGAAAUAGUAUUGUACAUGAGGAAAAUCCACAAGACUGAAGUCAUAGGAAAAUGGGAGUCUAAGGGCAGGAUUUGCACUAGCACAAGGAAAAGGCUGGCGUUAUUCAGUGAGAUGCUAACAGGGAAGACAGGCUAACUCUAAAAGAGUUUCAGGUUAGCUGCGUUUAGUUCAGCAUCAAGUGUCAAGUGGGAAGUAAUCGUGUGAUUUAAGACUUCACCUGUAUUGAAGGUGUUAGAACUGCAGUCACUCACAAAAGGAUUUGGACAAAGAAGGCACCAAGAUAGAACCCUGAAGAAUGGAGUGAGAAUUUAUUCAAAAUCUGAUGAGUCUUACUUAUCUAUAGAAACAGAUAAAAACAUACUGAAGCCUUAAUAGUCCAUUUAGUCCAUUAGCAUUUAGUGGGUAUAAACGUAAUUUUCUAUCCAACAGGUAGCAAUAACAAAAUAAUAUCUGAAGUAUAUCUAUAUUAUCCAUUCCUUUCCAUACUUAACUAGUCAGAGAAGACCAAGAACACCCAAAGCUGCAGCACAUGCAACGAUCUGCCUAUCAAACCUUUACCUACUGAACCCAAAGAUGUUUUCAGGACUCUGGAGCUAAAUGGCUAACACCUACAGGAGCACCAAGUCAUACCCACCAUGGGAGCAGAAAGCAUCACAGCAGUCUUGCACUGUAGGAUUACAGGAACCACAAGACUGUAAAACAAAGACACAUCUGGACGUUCACCUGGGCCUGGCAGAAAGCCCAGAGCGACUGCUGGUUCAGUGCUCAGCUCUGAGCAAGAGACCUCAGUGGAAAAAAGAUACUCUGGAGGACCAUAGUUGAAGGUUUCUCAGGCUACACAUAAACUCCCUAUCUCCAGCAUUCUAGACUCUCACCUUCCUCAUCUCUUUACAGUAUAGAGGCAACAUCCAGCCUUCCCUUCUCCUAAAUGAAUUUCAGGUUUUAAAUCUGUGGAAGAGGCUUAAAAAUAAAUAAAAAAAAAAAAAAACACA